GCUAACUAUGGACAGGGGAGAGAAAAAGAGGUAGAGGGACCACCCUGAAAACCAGGGCCUGAAGAUUCAGAAGCGUAGAAUGGGAAUUCCACUGAAGAAGAAUACGAGAGGGGAACGUAGAAGGGCUAAAUGAUCUUUGAAGCCCUUGGUAUCAAAGAAAGAUGGAACGCUUUCUGUGCAGAGGCUUGGUAUUUUCAUCAAAUCACAACUUGCGGAGCCUUUACUCCUCAUCCAGGGGAUUCACAUCAUCAUCAAGUGGAGGCUUCGAUUCAAUAGAAAAGGGCAGGAGCUACACUGAACAAACAGAUAAGGACUCCUUGAAACCCAUUGUAAAUGAUGUGUGCCGAAUUCUUGAAAGUGGUAAAUGGGGACCCGAUCUGGAAGCUUCUCUCUCUAGUUUUGAUCACAAAUCCCAAACCCAAUGCAUGGUUGGUGUGUUAAGGAUGCAAAAGGACCCAGGCCUGGCUUUAACCUACUUCCGAUGGGUGGAGAAAAGUGCUGGAACUGUCCACAGUCAAGAAGCAUACAACACCCUUCUCAUGAUCAUGGCUAGUGGUAACAAGCAUGAUAACUUGGACCAGGUUCUUGAGGAAAUGAGCCUUGCUGGCUAUGGUCCCUCGAAUACAGCUUGUAUAGCAUUAGUCACAAGUCUUAUCAAGUCCAAGAAGCUCACAAAAGCCUUUGAUUUGAUCCAAACCAUGCGCAAGCUCAAGUUUCGGCCUGCAUUUUCAGCAUACACAACUCUAAUUGGCGCACUAGCUGAUGCCCACGAGCCCAACAUGGCCCUGACCAUGUUUCACCAAAUGCAAGAAAUAGGCUAUGAAGUGAGCGUCCAGCUUUUCACUACUCUCGUUCGUAUAUUUGCAAAGGAUGGAAGGCUUGAUGCUGCUCUCUCUCUGUUGGAAGAAAUGAAGAGCAACUCCAUUGAUGCUGAUUUAGUCUUGUAUAAUGUGUGCAUAGAUUGUUUUGGCAAGGUGGGUAAGGUUGAUAUGGCUUGGAAAUUCUUCCAUGAAAUGAAGGCACAAGGUCUUAAACCUGAUGACGUCACAUACACAACCAUGAUUGGGGUUCUUUGCAAAGUAAACAGAUUGGAUGAAGCUGUGGAGUUAUUUGAGCAAAUGGACCAUGGCCGCCAUGUCCCAUGUGCAUAUGCAUACAACACCAUGAUCAUGGGUUAUGGUUCCGCUGGGAAAUUUGAUGAGGUUUACAAGUUGCUCGAGAAGUUGAGAGAGAAAGGGUGCAUUCCGAGUGUUAUCACAUACAAUUCAAUCCUCACUUGCCUUAGAAAGAAAGGGAGAGUGGAUGAGGCUUGCAAGCUAUUUGAGGAGAUGAAGAAAGAUGCUGAGCCCAAUCUCACAACAUAUAACAUCCUUAUUGACAUGCUAUGUCGAUCAGGCAGGUUGGAAAUGACAUAUGAUCUUAGAGAUUCCAUGGAAACUUUGGGCUUGUUCCCAAAUGUGCAAACUGUAAACAUAAUGAUCGAUAGGCUAUGCAAGGCUCAGAGGCUUAAUGAGGCAUGUCAGAUAUUUGAAAGCAUGGAGAAAAAGGGGUGCAAGCCUGACAGGGUGACCUUUUGCUCUUUGAUCGAUGGUUUGGGCCGAGAGGGUAAGCUCGAUGAGGCAUAUAGUCUGUAUGAAAGAAUGUUAGAUUUGGGUGAGGGGCCAAAUGCUGUGGUUUAUACGUCACUAAUUCGUAACUUUUUUAAAUGGGGAAGAAAGGAAGAUGGACACAAAGUCUUCAAAGAAAUGACUAGAAGGGGUUGCAAUCCUGACCUAACCUUAAUGAACACCUACAUGGAUUGUGUUUUCAAGAUGGGGGAAGUUGAAAAAGGGCGAGCUCUAUUUGAGGAAAUUAAGGCCCAAGCACUUGUUCCUGAUGUUCAAAGCUACUCCAUCCUCGUUCAUGGCUUGAUAAAGGCUGGCUUUGCAAAAGAGACCUAUCACUUGUUCUAUGCCAUGAAAAAACAAGGGUGCGUGCUUGAUACCUUAGCAUAUAACACAGUGAUUGAUGGGUUCUGCAAAUCAGGUAAGGUGAAUAAGGCCUAUCAGCUUCUAGAGGAGAUGAAAACUAAGGGGUAUCCACCCACUGUGGUUACCUAUGGCUCAGUUAUUGAUGGAUUAGCCAAAAUUGAUAGAUUAGAUGAGGCCUACAUGCUCUUUGAAGAGGCCAAAGCAAAGGGAAUACAACUCAACGUUAUUAUUUAUAGUAGCUUAAUAGAUGGGUUUGGGAAAGUGGGCCGUAUAGAUGAGGCUUAUUUAAUAAUGGAGGAGAUGAUGCAAAAGGGUCUAACCCCUAAUGUGUACACAUGGAAUUGUUUGUUAGAUGCUUUGAUGAAGGCUGAUGAGAUAAAUGAGGCAUUGGUUUGCUUUAACUCCAUGAAGGACUUGAAGUGUACGCCAAAUGUUGUGACCUAUAGCAUCCUAAUCAAUGGCCUUUGUAGAGCAAGAAAAUUCAAUAAGGCAUUUGUGUUUUGGCAAGAGAUGCAAAAGCAAGGUUUGAGCCCGAGUGUGAUCACUUACACUACAAUGAUUUCGGGGCUUGCUAAAGCAGGAAAUGUUGUGGAGGCAAAUGGGUUGUUUCAGAAGUUUAAAGAGAAGGGAGGAGUACCUGAUUCUGCCAGUUAUAAUGCAUUGAUAUCAGGGUUGAGCAAUGCUGAUAAAGCAUUGGAUGCAUAUAGGAUUUUCGAGGAGACAAGAAUGAGGGGUUGUAGUGUGAAUGUGAAAAGUUGUGUUGUUCUUUUGGAGGCUUUGCAGAGGACCGAGAACCUUGAGCAAGCAGCAAUAGUUGGGGCCGUGUUGAGAGAGGCUGCCAAGUCGCAACAUGCAACAAAGUCCUUGUGAGAGGGUGGGAGGUGGUUCAAGGUAGAGAUGCAAUUAACUGGAGAAGGAGGGUCAAAAACGGGUUAAGAGAUUUGCAUUGCAGUGCCUGGAUAAUGUGCCAGGUUCAAUUGGCAUAGGCUAUGGGCAUGGCCUGUGAAGCACUGUAAUUUUGGUGGCGAUGAAUGUAUUCUUAUUGGAAUGUGAAAUAUGUGUAAGUGGGGUGGUUUCAGAAUUCUGUGUGUGAUGCAGUGUUAAUCUCUCGCAUUGGAUCGUCCUAUGAAGGCCUUUGGUUAUAAUGGGUUACUCUUAAUGUUGGAUGAUACGGUCCAAAACUAGUUGUGGAUUUAUUCUGAAUACUUUCUGUCUCUCUAUCUGUUAACAAGGUACUGAUCUCUAUCUGUUAAUGAGGUACUGAUUUUGUUCAUUUUCAUCAGUUUAUGCAUUGUCUUGAUUUUGGGAAUCUCACAGAUCCAAGCAUAUGCGUAUCAAAUUUUUGGUUUACUCAGGUUAACUUCAUCAAAAAAAAAAAUGUUGGUUUACGCAUGAGAUUGGAUGGUACAUUUACUGCAGUCCAAGGGAACUUCAACUGCUCUGGUUUCUCACAGAUCCAAACAUAUGCGUAUCAAAUUCUGAUUCCAUAUUAGAUCAAUUUCUUGUAGCACACAACCAAUCAUUUUCAUUAACAAGCGUGAUUUAUUUGAAAACCUGCCUAUCUCCCAGGAAUAAUUGUUCUAAGAAUUUGGAGUUUACUCAAAAAAACAGUUUUUGAUCUUCAAAAGCUCUGGUUUCUGAGGUCUUGUCGAUAACAGGGCCUAUUCUUGAUUGAAUUCUUUGAAAUUUGUAUGCAGAAAUCACCUAUGAAAUUGUUCUAGUUUGAUACUCAUAGGGGCCUGAGUUGUUCAAUUUUCAUGGUUUGCUAUUUGUUAAUUUUGAUUUCAUAUCCAUCAAGCUUAAGAUAAGAUUGUCCCCCAUCAUUUUUCCUAUCAUUAAAACACCUUGACUCAACUUGAAUUUAGUUUGCAACCUACAUAAUGCCUGGUUUGGAUUAGUGCCCAUCUAUGUUGUCACCUAUAGUGUGAGUUUUAUCAAAGUAUAUUAUGCUAAUGUCUAGAAAGUAGUGCUCCCUCUCUUAAGGACAUUGAGCAUACUAAUUUUGGCCUUAAUCACAAGUUGGCUCAAGGUGAACCUAGUCAUUUAAUCCUAUGGGAUAAGUCCCAUAUGUGAUUCUAUUUGUAGUUGUCAUCAAGCAUGACCACUAUAUAUACUUCUAUAUACUGUUAAUAUAUAUAAUGCUGUCGGGUUUGUUAUUACCAUCUUAUGCAUCUACACAUCAUGAGGGCAUACCCUAGCCAUUGCAACCAUACCCUAUCCCACAUGAUCAUCCCUUGACAUGCCAUGAUGCCAUGAUGGCGACACCCACAUCAUGCUGCCAUGAUGGCGACACCCACAUCAUGCUGCCAUGAUGGCCACCCGCACACCAUUUUCCCUAGAUUUUUAUGCCCAUGCAGUAGCUAUGUUACCUUGAUGAUCGUGCUUAUGAUGUAGCCCAUAUACCUUGAUGAUCAUGCAUAUGAUGCAGCCCAUACAUGACCAUGAUAGGCGUGAUCAUAGUCAUUUGAUCUCAAUGAGUAAUCACACUUAGUUGGAGCUCAUUUUUUAAUGGUUAUAUUAGUUUAGUUGCUGCAUUUUCCACCAUGGUGAUUACUCCAUUGUUGCAGCCCGUCUUCUAACAUGAGCAAAUCAUAAUUGUAGCACAUACACCAUUAGUGAUCACACCAAAUUUGCGGCCUGCAUAUCAUAUUGAUCAUCUUGUAGUUGUAGCUGAUGUUUCAUUAAGAUGAGGCCCCAAUUCUAUUUGCUUUUCACAUCAUGGAUGCUGCCCCAUCUUGUGGGUAUACCCUUUAUUAUCACAGUUUUAGGAUAAAAGGUCAGCAAUCAUAAUAUAAUCCUAUGGUAUGUGGUAUACUUGUAGUUCAUUGGGCAUCCAUUCUAUGGGAUGGACCGUGAUUAAACGUGGGACCUAGUGGAGCAAGACCUUUGCAACGUUUUUAUCGAUAAAAUUGUUUGUAUUCUUUUGUUUGGACAAGUGCUUGAAACUUUUUCAUGCUGUGGAAGUGUAACUUUUAUUGGAUUUGGUCUUUUGAGUUUUGCAUAAACUUUAAUGGAGUUAUAUUAUUCCAGAUGAUAGUGCGAUAGUUAUUUGGGACUGUUCUCUCGAGUACACAGUAAAAUAUUUUUAUCAUCAUAUUGGGUGCUCAACUUAGUGGAGUUAUAUUAUUCCAGAUGAUAGUGCGAUAGUUACUUGGGACUGUUCUCUCGAGUACAAAGUAAAAUAUUUUUAUCAUCAUAUUUUUGGCCAUUGGUCUAAGAAGAGUGAGGACCGUAAACUUUUCCUUAACCCGUCCCAAGCCCGGGCAAAAGUGGUGGGUUGUAUUAAGUAGUCAGCCAACGUAAAACUUUGCGAAAACUUCUCAUGAAUCCGGAAUAUAUUCAAGUGGAGUAUGGCUCUUAGCUGACCCCAAUUAGUUAGGACAAGGCUUCGAUGAUGAUGAUCAUAUUUUUGGUCAUGCAAGUUUGUUAUGAGUAGAUACAAUUGUAUUCCUUGGAAAAAAGAACACGACUAGUAUUAUCAAGAAGUGGUGUGUAUAGUCAAGGAUAGAAUUGGCGAAAUAUCCUCGAAAUUGAGCUUGUCCUUGGAUGUUAGUCGCAUCUUUAGAAAGUAAAUUGACUAUGCAUCGAACUACAAUUUAAUGUGAUUCUCAUCCUUUAGGAAAAUUGUAAUUUAAAGCGAGUAUGCUAUAUGUGGUGCUAAGUGUUGGAUCAGUGAUAAUGCUAUCAUGUACAUGUUGUCCAUUCUUGGUUGAUGAGUUGGCAAUUCAUUAUUACUCUCUAACAGUUUUUAAGCAUUUAAUAGAUUGAUCUUAAUUUUUGACAAUUAGGUGGAUGUAAGUUGGUGCAUUUGCAGUUUAUCAUUGCAGCGCUUUCUUUUUUGGAAAAAAAUUUCAAGGCAUUGAAGCAUGAAGCACAGCCUUUUAUCCCAUUGGACCUGGUCAAAUUAUUUUCUUUUUUGGACAAGCAAGAAGUAGUUUAUGAGGGUUGUAUUUUGUUUUUGCUUAUAUUUAGGUCCUUUGUCAAAAUCCUUCGUAGUUGCCCACAAAAUGGGGCAAUACCACAAGAUUUUUUAUUUCUUGUUCCUCAUGUCCAUCAUAUGUUGUACGAGAAACAUUCUGACGUAGAUUGAUUCCGACAUUCCUUUACAGGAUGAGAAUGUGGGCUUUUCCUGGUUUUUGUUACAGAUCCUUAUUUACUCCCCAGAUGGAAGGUGCCUUUUCAAGUAUCAAGCCUGCGGAAGUGGUUUGGAUGUUAAAAACUGUUGCUUGAUCUCAUGUGGCCAGUUUCUAGCAGUUGGUAGCUAUGAUCAGAUGCUAAGGGUCUUGAAUUGUCUAACACGGAAUAUUGUUCCCGAAUUUAUGCUCAUAAUUUCUGUUAGAGGUCCAUUUUCUGCUGGCAUUUUCAAUGUCAACAUUAUAUUUUGAAGCAACUGGCAUGCAUGCAUGCAUUUCUGAGCCCCAAAUGUAUAAAAAGAAUUGCCUUAUGAUAAUUGCGUAAGAGAUUGAUCAGCCCUAGCAAUUUGAUAUGCAUGUUUGUUUCGCACGUGAAAGAAUUCCCUCAUGUGGUUAUUAGAAUUCCCUCAUGUGGUUAUUAGAUACGAGUUGGUGAUGACUUUGCUCAGACUAUAGGGGCCAAUGGCACUGGUGAGCAGUGUUGAGAAAGCUUUAUGUUAUUUGAUUUUAUCUAUAAUUGAAAGAAACUAGAUUAAUUAGGUUGAAUACUAUGUUCUAUUUGGUUUUAUGUUAAUUGGUAUAUUCUAUAAUUUCUCUUUCUUUUUUUUCUGAGUAGUUGUAAGAAUAUCUAUAUAUUAUUUUUGAUAAAGCACAUAAUUGAUAUCCAUAUUCUUGUAGGCUAUUUUGAGAAAAAGAUAGAAUCACAUAGCAAAAGAAAAGACAAACAUAUGGGAGCUGUGUACCUUGGAUCAUGCUUACAUAUUGCGUGUUAAAGAAGGUUAUUUGGUCGAUAAUUUUGCAUGUUUAGGCACUGUGGGUGAAGUUAUUUGCAUUCGAUUUGCCCAAAAACAAAAAGUUGUAUGCAUCAGAGAGCUGAAGAUUCACUAUGAAUAAUUAUAUAUAAAAUUAUAACCUCACUUUUUUCCCGAUCUCCAUGAAUAAAAGUGAAUUGUGCUUGAUUUUCAUUUCAUUGUCUGUCUGAAAUAUAUAAUUUUAUCAUGUUUAUGCUUGUGGUCAGUAUUCAGAAAAUGCUUCUCAAUGUUCGCUGCAAGCUAAUGAAUGUUCCAGUGAAUUUGCCUUUCCAGAAACCUGCUCUGGCAAAUCUAACCCAAAGCAAGGACUUGUCUUUCCCGUCAUCAGUCAAGAGUCGAGACUGAUUAACGGGAGGGCAUUAAAGGCUACUAAAGAAGAAGAACGGAGUGGGAGAAAGCCUUCCUGAAAAUGGCGCUACAUCCCAUGAUGGUGGAGAGGAGGGAUCAACAACAAAGGAUAUGCAUUCCUUAAUUGUGCAUAUGGCCAGACUUGGGCCUUUACCUUGUUUGUUGCUAAGUGUUUGUUUCUUUUUGCUCCCUCAUGGUAGUCGUUUGUAUCCGUAGUGCUAAUUUAUCUCAUUAUUAGUAGGUGGAACUUGGUAAGUGUUUAUUUUAUUUUUUCUUUUUCUUUUGUGAUUUAAAUGUUGUGGACAACAUUCCUGGUGAUAUUCAUCUUUGCGAGUCUCACUCUCACCCUUAUGUGAACAUAUUAUAAUUGAUGCGUAUGGGUAUUUGCA